rnacentral:rRNA from 1 species
AUACGGAGGAUCCGGGCGUUAUCCGGAUUUAUUGGGUUUAAAGGGUGCGCAGGCGGCCAUUUAAGUCAGCGGUUAAAUCGUGGGGCUCAACCCCAUUCUGCCGUUGAUACUGGGUGGCUUGAUUGCGGUCGAGGUUGGCGGAAUUCGUUGUGUAGCGGUGAAAUGCAUAGAUAUGACGAAGAACACCGAUUGCGUAGGCAGCUGACCAGACCACAAAUUACAGUCAUGCACGAAAGUGCGGAGAUCGAACAGGUUUAGAUUCCCUGGUAGUCCGCACAGUAAGCGAUGAAUACUUGGUUUCGGCGAUAUAAUGUCGGAGGCAAAGCGAAAGCGAUAAGUAUUCCCCCUGGGGAGUACGCCGGCAACGGUGAAACUCAAAGGAAUUUACGGGG